AGGUGGGGAACGCUUGCGUGUAUGUGGUUGUAGAACUGUCCUAGUCCAUGCAAGUGAAUUCAGCCUGUCUACCCGUAACCCUGUCUGUCUUCUGUGCACGAGACUGUAUGUAGGACCCCCUCCUCCCAUCCCGUCUCUCCUCCCCUUCUCUCUCUAUCUCCUCUCAUCCCUUCUUCCCUCCUUCUACCCCUCCUCUCCCCUCCCCAGCCAGUGUUGUCAGUGUUUGUCGAGCUCUGGCCCUGGCUUGUCUGUCACCCAUGUGGUGAUCCUCAGUGCAGGUCUGUUCGAGGUAUGUGUGUAUGCAUGCGUGUGUGUAUGUGUGCUUGUGUGUGUGCAUGCGUCUGUCUGUCUGUGUGUCUCCUUUUUGCUUUUUAAUGGCUGCCCAUCAGCCCAGUCCCUGACCAGACCACUCCAGAGUUUGGGUCGGCUAAAGAGAGUCCAUACAAUCAGGCCAUUCUGUUCUAAACAGGUCCAUUCUAAAGAUCAACCGGCUCCCUC